rfam:Butyricicoccus pullicaecorum 1.2 genomic scaffold acBRa-supercont1.4, whole genome shotgun sequence.
GGGGGUGUAGCUCAGCUGGGAGAGCACCUGCCUUGCAAGCAGGGGGUCAGGAGUUCGAUUCUCCUCAUCUCCA